rnacentral:rRNA from 1 species
AUAUCAAUAAGCGGAGGAAAAGAAACCAACAGGGAUUGCCUUAGUAGCGGCGAGUGAAGCGGCAAUAGCUCAAAUUUGAAAUCUGGCGUCUUCGGCGUCCGAGUUGUAAUUUGAAGAAGGUAUCUUUGGUUUUGGCUCUUGUCUAUGUUCCUUGGAACAGGACGUCACAGAGGGUGAGAAUCCCGUGCGAUGAGAUGCCCAAUUCCAUGUAAAGUUCCUUCGACGAGUCGAGUUGUUUGGGAAUGCAGCUCUAAGUGGGUGGUAAAUUCCAUCUAAAGCUAAAUAUUGGCGAGAGACCGAUAGCGAACAAGUACUGUGAAGGAAAGAUGAAAAGAACUUUGAAAAGAGAGUGAAAAAGUACGUGAAAUUGUUGAAAGGGAAGGGCUUGAGAUCAGACUUGGAAUUUUCCAGCAAUGGAGCUUUCCGGGCCAGCAUCAGUUUGGAUGGCAGGAUAAUUGCGUAGGAAAGUGGCUCCACUACGGUGGAGUGUUAUAGCCUGCGUCGAUACUGCCUGUCUAGACUGAGGACUGCGUCUUUGACUAGGAUGCUGGC